UACGAAGGGGGCUAGCGUUGUUCGGAAUUACUGGGCGUAAAGCGCACGUAGGCGGACAUUUAAGUCAGGGGUGAAAUCCCGGGGCUCAACCCCGGAACGGCCUUUGAUACUGGGUGUCUUGAGUUCGGAAGAGGUGAGUGGAAUUGCGAGUGUAGAGGUGAAAUUCGUAGAUAUUCGGAGGAACACCAGUGGCGAAGGCGGCUCACUGGUCCGGUACUGACGCUGAGGUGCGAAAGCGUGGGGAGCAAACAGGG
rnacentral:rRNA from 1 species